UCAAUCCCAACUACUGUAUACGUGAACAGUACUGUAUACGUAAAUAGUGCCGUAUACGUAAAUAGUGCCAUAAAUGGUCGUAUUCCCCAAGUACGAAUCUGGCUCUGAUACCAAUUAUUGUGCGGAAGCGUGUGAAAGAGUAAAAUUAUUGUACUAAAAAUCACACUAAGUUUAAUUCCCAGGAAAGAGAGGUGGAUCACGAG
rnacentral:lncRNA from 1 species